rnacentral:lncRNA from 1 species
AAAUUCACAUCAUAUUUUCAACUAAUUAUGAAGCCAACGGAAACCUUAUAACAAAUAAAUUUAUCUUAAGAACGCCAACAAAAGAAACAUACUAACAAAGGGUUAAACAUAUUCUAAUGCUAACAAGAACAUACCAACUUUAAAGCAAACUCACUUUGAGACAUAAAAUGAAUAUUUACACGGACAUGUAGGAACUUAGCGAAAUAUUUGUUCAACCCAACAUCCAUGAAUUAACUUGUGAAGAAACGAUACACAUGUAAAGAAACAGGCCUUUAUUUCGGAAUUUGAAUUUUGAAAGUUUGCCAAUCAACAAAUAAACCAAAUAUCAGGGACCAUGGCCGGAAGCUAGCGACGGCAAACUCGACCUCUUCGAUUUCGAACUUCAAAUGGGUUAAAAAAGGGGAACUAGAAGCGGGCUAUUUUUGGUGGAAAUCGGAGAAGAGGAGACACAGGGGUAUUUUGUAACUCUGAUUUGUACCUUGCUUCUCCCGUUUUUGGACUGAAAAUCGUCGUCGUCCCCUAUUGCUAUGUUGCUCUGUUCUCCAAAUUCUCUAUGUAUGAUCUCUGCUCUUAGAUCCCUCUAUUCAUUUUAAUUCCAUUGUUUUGAAACCCAAUUUGAAAUCAAAGGAAGAAACAGUAAUAUGUAUUUUUGUAUUUUUCUUUCUAAAUCUCAAGCAUAAGGAUAACUCACAAAGAAAAAUUCUUCGCUUCCUUUAAUUUGUAUUUGGUCUUAAGGUGUGUUCUAGAUUGUGAAAAAUGAAGAAGAAUGGCUGGUUCCUCAACGGUGGAUCUGAAGGUUUUUGGGAGUUUAGGGUGUUGUUUCGCUGGUGCUUGUAUAGCUGAAGCAGUAACGAUGAACUAAUGGGGGUACAGCUACUUCGGUGAAGGUGUUAUUAUAUAGGGGUAGGGAUUAGGAUUAUAUUUCGUAUUUUUGCUCAUUAGUUCAUAUGUCUUUUUAUU